rnacentral:rRNA from 1 species
AGAAUCAACGCUGGCGGCGUGCCUCAGACAUGCAAGUCGAACGAUUAAACUCCCCUUCGGGGGAGAUAUAAAGUGGCGCACGGGUGAGUAACACGUAGGUAAUUUGCCUUCGGGUGGGGAAUAACAGCCGGAAACGGCUGCUAAUACCGCAUAAUGCAGCGGCUCGACAUCGAGACAGUUGUUAAAGCGGGGGAUCGCAAGACCUCGCGCCUAAAGAGGAGCCUGCGGCGGAUUAGCUAGUUGGUGAGGUAAUGGCUCACCAAGGCAUCGAUCCGUA